rnacentral:lncRNA from 1 species
CAGUUUCAACUAUAACAACCUUGCAACAGAUGACAUAUUCCCAUGUUUUGGGUUUAUAAACACCUCAGGGGCCCAAAACAAUUGGACCUUCCAACAGUAACAGAACUUGGAGGACUGAAUACAUGGAAAUCAGUAAAUCUACCAAUAACUAUAUUACAAUUCCAAUGCUAUAUUCAAAAGAAACAGAAUUUCAUAUUAAGCAUGUUGAGCUAAGGAGUUAAUAUAAAGAAAGUAGACUAAGUAAGAGAAAAAUUUAACAUCCAAUAAAAAAGAACAUGAUCUUCAUAUAUCUCUUUCACAAACACUUCACAAGCAUAUUUUUGCAUGCCUAAAGUCAUAGUGUAUACUUGGAAAAGUGAAAUAAGACAGAAGGAGAAAUUCAGCAAUGAAUAGUAGCAGAAACAAUGUUCAGCAGCCAAAUAAACCCGGAAAUAACCAAGGAAAACUGUCUUUAAACAAGAUUUGAACCGGCAAGAGUAUCAAAUAAAGCCGAGUAAUCAGACACACAACCAAAACCUGAACCAAAUACUUGAACACCAACCAGAAAUUCAACUCAUGUGAACCCGUAGUUCUUCUGGAAUUGUUUCAGAAGAGAGAAACUUUAAAGAUUACCAAAUUUCUCAAUGGAACAUUACUUUUCUAACUAUUUUUAGCUGUUUUUUUAUUUUUCGGGAUUUCUUAGCUCUCCAAUUCUCUCUCAGAUUUUCAGAAUGUUCC